UGACGUCAUUCAGGAGAAGAAAGUUAGACUUUCGCCGAAGGAAUUACACUCUCAGGUGUCUUAAGACAGGACUGAUUGAC
rnacentral:ncRNA from 2 species